UCUUCGGUCUUCCCCUUCCUGGUCUCUCGGUCCCUUCAAUCUUCAAUCGUUCUUGUCUUUCCGUUCCUGGUCUAUCUCUCUCGGUUUCCCGUAGACCUAUCCCUCUCAGUCGGGAAAUGAGAAAAUAAGCAGAAAUUUUUAAUAUUUCACUAACUCUCUAUUCCCCAAUUUCUAUUUCUAUCAUUUACCACACAAAGACAACCCUAAUCAUUCUCUCUUCUGUCUUUUCCCCAUGGAUGGCUUGUUCUAUCCUCUGUAUCGUUUCCCACUGAUGGUACACAGAUAGUCAUAGCCAUUCUUCUUUUCUUUCACUAAAUUUUUUUUGCUCCAGUGCCUCCUCUUAGCCAUGGCUAGGGCUACCAUAAAGGUUUAUUUCUUCAUAAUGGAGAGGGGUUAGUCCUCUUCAAAAUCUCUGUUCCAGAAGUUUCUUCAUCGCCAGCAAAGAUUUUAAGGGUGGUGAUUUAUGGCUUGUUUGGAUAUUCAGAUGGAUGUAAAGAAUCAAUAAUCUGCAACUAUAUGGGUGCUCAAGAUAUGCAUUUUCGAGAAAAUGAGCAAUUAUGGAGAGUUUAGACGGUUUACAACUUGGAAACAAAGGGACCAAAUUGUUGACUUUUAAUUGCCAUAUGAGAUUUUUGGGCCUAUGCAACAAAAUGUGUGAACAUGCUUAUUCUUUGGCUCAAAAUAUGGAUCCUGACAGUGAAGGAAGAGGAGUUCUACAAUUUAAAACUGGAUUGAUGUCUUUCAUUAAGCAAAAACUUGCAAAAAAAGGAGGGAGGAGUUAUAGAUAGAAGCCAAGACAUUGCUCUUUUGCAAGAUUUCUACAAACUCUAUCGAGAGCACAAUGACGUGGAAAUGUUACGAGAAGAAGAGUUGAAUUUAAGGGAGACUGGGGCUUUCAGUGGAGACUUGGGCGAGUUGGAGAGAAAGACAGUUAAGAGGAAAAGAGUUUUUGCUACUUUAAAAGUUCUAGGCACAGUCCUUCAGCAACUGACUGAGGAAAUUCCUGAUGAGAUGAAGUCCAUGGCUGGCACCCAAGCUUAGCCUUGGCCCCAGAAGUUGAAGAAGAAAGCUUAGAACUUUUUGUUCAUUUCAAGUACCGGGAAAUCUCAGUUCUUGAAAUUUGCUGCAAAGUUAAGUAACAGAUCUGUUGUCACUACUGGCUUAGGAAGCACUAGUGCUGGACUCACUGUCACUGCAGUCAAGGAUGGAGGUUGGGGAUCGAAUUGGCAAGGAGCAUUGCAAAGGUAAUUUGCAAGAGUUGUUAAACCCAGACAAAAAACAAGGUUUUAGUAAGAGAACAACAUCAAAUACAAUUUCAUUGGAGAUGGAUAAAAGUUGGAUCCAUCUUAACAGAGUAACGGUGGAAUAUGAGCAAAAAGCUAGAGAGUUUGCACUUGCUUGACUGGGCAGAUGCAAUUGUUGCUGAAGGUCGUUGGGAUUCUAGUGAUCCAAAUAUAACUGUACAUGGAAAGCCUCUUGGACCAGACUUUAUGCGAGUAUGGGUUGAUGUUGCUAUUGUACCAGAGUCUUACUUAUUUCGUCCUAAUCAUGCGAUGCUUACAAUACAAGAAGCAGUUGGUUCCAUAGUUGCAUGGCCUUCUAAAAAAGUUAUUCCAAGAGAUAUGACAAGCGAAGUAUAAAAGGAUACUUAAGACUCCUUGAAAGUAGUAACUUUGUUUAUUUCUUUGUGUUGAAAGUAGUAACUUUUAGACUCCUUGAAUACUUAAAGAAUAUUUUGUUGUUGAUGACAGUGUUGAAUGUUUUAAACCAAAUUGUGGAUUGUUAAUUCAAUGUAGAAUGUUCUUACUUUUUGUUA